ACGUGAGGCAGUGGCUGGGCAGGGAAAAUGGCGGCUUCAGGAGAGAGCGGGACUUCAGGCGGCGGAGGCGGCACAGAGGAAGCGUUUAUGACCUUCUACAGUGAGGAAUAAAGAUGGUAUACCAGAGAUUCAUUUCAAGUAGCAUUCAACUCUGACAGUGGCACCAAGGAUGUUUUCCUGGAACUACCUGGUGUUUGUUCUCCUUAGCAUUGUCUUCAGGUGAAACAAAUAGAGAAGAGAGAUUCGGUUCUAACAUCCAAAAAUCAGAUUGAAAGAUUGACCCGUCCUGGUUCCUCCUACUUCAAUUUGAACCCAUUUGAGGUUCUUCAGAUAGAUCCUGAAGUGACAGAUGAGGAAAUAAAAAAGAGGUUUCGGCAGUUAUCUAUAUUGGUGCAUCCUGAUAAAAAUCAAGAUGAUGCUGACAGAGCACAAAAGGCUUUUGAAGCUGUGGACAAAGCUUACAAGUUGCUACUGGAUCAGGAGCAAAAGAAGAGGGCCCUGGAUGUAAUUCAGGCAGGAAAAGAAUACGUGGAACACACUGUGAAAGAGCGAAAAAAGCAAUUAAAGAAGGAAGGGAAACCUACAAACGUGGAGGAGGAUGAUCCUGAGCUGUUCAAACAAGCAGUAUACAAACAGACCAUGAAACUCUUUGCUGAGCUUGAAAUUAAAAGGAAAGAAAGAGAAGCCAAAGAGAUGCAUGAAAGGAAGCGACAAAGGGAAGAAGAAAUUGAAGCUCAAGAAAAAGCCAAACGAGAAAGGGAGUGGCAGAAAAACUUUGAGGAAAGUCGAGAUGGUCGUGUGGAUAGUUGGCGAAAUUUCCAAGCAAACACCAAGGGGAAGAAAGAGAAGAAAAAUCGGACCUUCCUGAGACCACCAAAAGUAAAAAUGGAGCAGCGUGAGUGACCACCUGGGGUCACAGCCACAGAACCUUCCUCCAACUGCCUCCCCUCCUGCUUUGAAGGACUCAUUCUUCCCACCCCUACCCCAACAUAGAGUAGUAUUUGCUUUUUAGUCCAUUUUGUUUCAAUACAAUUUAAUAUCAAUCAGAGUAAUUCUUUUGUACAUUGAAAUGAGGAGCUCGGUUUUAAAACAAAGACCUUCCCCAUCCCCUACCCCCAGAGCAGCCAGGAUUGGAAGGUGCCACCAUUGGUGCUCCUUCUGUUCCCACAGCCUGUAACUUAAUGUUUUGUACUUCACUGAAUUGUGAUGGUUAGAACUUCAUGUAUAGUUUAUGGAAAUCAUCCAAUUAAACAUGUUGCUUAAAAUGGUGUUGCAGUGACUUUCGAGACAACCCUGGACCAUCGUAGGAAGCCCUUUUCCUUCAGUAGCUUGUUUCUGAGCGUGGCAUCCUUUGAAGCCGCAGAUCAGACAGGGAAGGCAGUGCAGGCAAGCAGAGCAGUCACUUAAUGCCCUGCCGCCCCAUAGUGUUUGGCAUGUGCCCUCCUAAUCUGACUGACCAAUCAGCUUGGCAUGAGGCUCCGAGCCAUGCAAACCUACUCACUUUCCAAAGAGCUAGCUGUCCUCUAUCCAGUACCAUUGUGUUCUAGCCUGUCUGUAUUCGUUAGUAGUAAAAUUCUGUAUGUGUAAUAAAUUUUUGUACCC